rnacentral:rRNA from 1 species
CUGCAGUUGAGCGUACCCAGCAAUGGGGAGCAGCGUAAGGGGCAGUAAGGCAUGGGUAUCUACCCGGGGAUCGGGCAUAGCCUGUAGAGAUACAGGGUAAUUCCCGAUGAUGUCGCAAGACCAAAGCUCCGGCGUCCCUGGAGGAGCCCAUGUGAUAUUAGCUAGUUGGUGGGGUAACGGCCUACCAAGGCGAAGAUGUCUAGCGGGUGUGAGAGCACGACCCGCGCCACUGGCACUGAGACACUGGCCAGACACCUACGGGUGGCUGCAGUCGAGGAUCUUCGGCAAUGGGCGCAAGCCUGACCGAGCGAGGCCGCGUGGGCGAUGAAGGCCUUCGGGUUGUAAAGCCCUGUCGAGGGGGAGAAAAGCCGCAAGGCGUGAUCUAUCCCUGGAGGAAGCACGGGCUAAGUUCGUGCCAGCAGCCGCGGUAAGACGAACCGUGCGAACGUUGUUCGGAAUCACUGGGCUUAAAGGGCGCGUAGGCGGGCUAUCAAGUCCGGGGUGAAAUCCUCCAGCUCAACUGGAGAACUGCCUCGGAUACUGAUGGUCUCGAGGAGGAUAGGGGCACACGGAACUGUGGGUGGAGCGGUGAAAAUGCGUUGAUAUCCAUAGGAACUCCGGUGGCGAAAGCGGUGUGCUGGAUCCUUUCUGACGCUGAGGCGCGAAAGCCAGGGGAGCAAACGGGAUUAGAUACCCCGGUAGUCCUGGCCCUAAACGUUGGGUACUAGGUAGUAGACUAGACAUGGGUUUACUUCCGAAGCAAAAGUGCUAAAGUACCCCGCCCUGGGGAGUAUGGUCGCAAGGCUGAAACUCAAAGGAAUUGACGGGGGGCUCACACAAGCGGUGGAGCAUGUGGCUUUAAUUCGAGGCAACGCGAAAAACCUUACCUGGGUUUGACAU